UUUUUUUUUUUUUAAGUAAGCUCUAUGCGCAGCAUGUGGCUCCAGCUCAUGACCCUGAGAGCAAGAGCCACACGUUCUACCAACUAACCCAGCCAGCUGCCCCUCAAAUUAACCUAAAUUUUUUUUUAGGGACACCUGAGUGGCUCAGUUGGCUGAGCGUCCAACUCUUGAUUUCCACGGGGGUCAUGAUCUCAGGGACCUGGGAUGGAGUCCCACCUCAGGCUCUGCACUCAGGAGACGGUCCACCUGAAGAUUCUCUCCCUCUGCCCUUCUGCCUGCACACACGAUCUCUCUCUCUCCAUGAUCUCUCUCUGAAAUAGAUAAAUCUUUCUUUAAAAAUUUAACAGAAUUCCUGAUGAUCAACAAACAAAAACAUUUUCAUGCAUCAAAUGAAAAAAUAUUUUCAAUCGGAAUUAAUGGAAUUCUGGUUCACUGUAAAUUUUUUAACAAACUGGUAAUAAUUACUAGCAAUUGCACAUAUAUUAUUUCUUGUCGUGCACCUAGAGCUAUAGAGGCCAUAGAUUUCCAGAGGAGAGUCAGAUGGAGGGGAAAGCUAUUCUCCAAUUUGUUGCUAUGUAAGAGAGACUUGCUCCCUGGUGCUGAGCAGGCCAAAAGUCAGGCAGAUCGGAGAGAAAAUAGCUAGAGUACAAAUGCAUCAUUUUACAAUAAGACUUUUAAUGUUUUUAAAAGUUGCUUAAAUAUUUUAAUGUCUUUUUAAAGCUUUUAAAAGUUGUUUCUUUUUUUUACCACUUUUUUUUUUAAGUAGGCUCCAAUCCCAGCACAGAGCCCAACACAGGGCCCAGACCCACGACCCUCAGAUCAAGCCGAGACAAAAUCAAGAGUCCAACUCUCAACCGACAGAGCCACCCAAGCACCCCUAAAAGCUGUGUUUCACAUGAAGUUGCACAAUUUAUCUUUAGCAACGUAUAUGAUGUUACUUUUCUUUCAAUACAGAAGAUCCAGUUACUGACAUCCUAGACAACAUCUCUUUGCUUUCUAUAUUAAAGUGUGAUGAAGUGUUCUGAAACACAUCUUCUUUGUCACUAGAACCAUUGGUAUUACCAAUAUGGAAUAGUAAAAAAGCUCUCCAACUACUUAAGACCUUACAAAACACGCUUGAAUAUUGCUGCAUAAUUUGUCUUUCCCCAGAAAAGCAUAUUAAACUGUGUUGACAUUGGAUACAAAAUAAAAUUCAAAAAUUCGCAUCUCGAGUACUUUUGGUUUCUUGACCUUUAUUUGAAUUUGAGACUAAGCUUUACCAAACAACAGAAUUUACACUGUAACUAGCCAACCACAGUCCUCAUUAUGGAAUCUAUGCAGUACAUCUGUUACCUAGGAAACAGACCAGAGCACAGGCAGAGUGCAAUUUCUGUAGAGCAAAAGAAUUCUCCAAUCAUGCUGGUAAAUAAAGUCCAUAAAUCAACUAAUCAGAAGCAAAGUCAAGAAGCAUCACAGAAGAGUUAAGCUCCAUGGAAACUUUUUUAAAGGAAAAAAAGAAACCUGUGGGGCUUCUUCGGGCAACUAUGUAGAUCUCUUAAGUAAAUAUUAUGAGCAGGUUUCUUUACAAACACAAACUGUCAGAAAAUAAACUGUUCAAAAUAAAUGGCUUCUCUCCAAUCUACAGCUUCUCUAUUUUUGACAGUAUUUAAGAGGAAAAGCUUCUUCAGAGCCAGCCUCGUACAUCUGGUAGUAGAAUAUUAAUCCAAGAAUGAAUGCCACAUUUUCCAAGAGCAGCGUGAGUUUAUGCUGCUCUUAAACAAUGCAGGAUGAUAAAGGCUGGAAGAGAGGUCACUGUCCACACUUCUCACAGUCCCAUCUGCUUCCACAGCAGACUAUAAAAAAAACAUGAAAAAGAAGGAUUUGAAACUCACCGAUCUAUUACAAAGAAUAAAAUUGUUACUUUUCAGCUUUCCAUUUGGUUAUGACUAAUAAUACUAGUCCUCUGAGGGUUCCAGGUUAACCUAAAGUGGCCAUUUUGAGUUUCCUUUAAUGGUACCACAUUGAUAACAAGCAGGAAAAGUCUGCGGAUUUUCAAGUCUAUCAAACGUAACUGGACAGCUUAGUGUUGUUUAAAAAAAAAGAAACCAGCAAAUGUCAGUUUAUAUUGCUCAUCUAUACUCAAAAUCCAACUCUACUAAUUCGGAAUUUCUGGAAGUAACAUUUGUCAUAUCAAAAGUAUCAGAAAAAAGUCUCAACCAUGAAGAGUGAAAAAUAAUUUAUACCCCUUCCUAACCACCAACAUACAAGAAGAGAAAUCAGCUGAAAAUAUGUAAGGUUCUCUGGACUGCUUCGGGCUACACAAAAAAAUACUGUUUAUUAUACAAAAACAAAAAAAUGAAUACCCAUAUAUCACAGCCAAAAACAAAAACAAACUAGGUGUUACCUCUUAGCCUGCCCAUGGGAAGACACUACACUGCCAAUCCCAGAAAACUGUUGGGCAUAACUACAAGUUGCCAAGCAAUUCUCAACACAGACCACACUCUCUUAAUAUUUAAUUUACACCGUGACUCUGUUAAACCUCAUCCCUCUGACUGACAGAUAAAUACAUAAACAAUUCAAGUUAUUAACUUAUCUUUUUAAAAAUUCCUAAGCACUGGGCAGCCCCGGUGGCCCAGCGGUUUAGCGCUGCCUUCAGCCCGGGGUGUGAUCCUGGGGACUCGGCAUCGAGUCCCACGUUGGGCUCCCGGCAUGGAGCCUGCUUCUCCUUCUGCCUGUGUCUCUGCCUCUCUCGCUGUCUUUCAUAAAUAAAUAAAAUCUUUAAAAAAAAAAUUCCUAAGAACUGAUAAAGAGUGUGUGUAAUCAAAUAGCUGGAACUCCGGGAGUGUGUUCUGACUCCAUCCCACCAUUCCUAAUAAAGCCUGAACAAAUUUCAAUACCUAUGCUCUUUGGGCCGUCCUUACCAGAAAAGAAAGUGGAAUCUUGCACAAGGGCCUACUAGUGCCUUGCACUGAACCCUAUAUGCCCUCUACAUUCAUUCAGCUAAUCUAGAAAGGAAGUCAAAACAAGAAUAAAAUUUGAUCAGUUCAAAGGGACUGGUAAGAUUGUUAGAUUAGAUGUAGCAUCUUCUAAGUUUUAAGUGUAUAAAAAUGUACAGCCCAGAUACUUACAACGUUGGGCAUGCAAUAAUAAUAAUAAUCUGUUAAUGUAACUAGGGCAAACAUCUAGGCUAAUUUUUUUCUUCUGGAAAAAAAAUGACUUUUCGGCACACUGAAGCUGUCUCCGCUUCAUCAUGACAAAAAUCAUUUUGCCUAAUCAAAACUGUAUUAACAUUGUACAUUGCUUUCUGAUGAAUUUCUGUAUCCUACUUGAUGAAGAUUUAAAUAAAUUCUUUUCCACCACAAUGUUUUUCAGAUGUUUAAGAAAGCUUCUGGUUUCUACAUACAACUCCACAUAUACGACCUGAGUGCACCCAAAACUAUUUUUUCAGUCUCCUUGAUAACCAUCAGAUUUAAAUUUGUCCAUAUGGAUUCUCACACGGCAGGAAAGAGAAAAAAAAAAAAAAA
rnacentral:lncRNA from 1 species